GUAGUUAGCCGUGGCUUCCUCCUCAGGUACCGUCAUUAUCGUCCCUGAAGACAGAGCUUUACGAUCCGAAGACCUUCUUCCCUCACGCGGCGUUGCUGGGUCAGGCUUGCGCCCAUUGCCCAAUAUUCCCCACUGCUGCCUCCCGUAGGAGUCUGGACCGUGUCUCAGUUCCAGUGUGGCCGAUCAGCCUCUCAGCUCGGCUACCCAUCGUCGGCUUGGUGGGCUGUUAUCUCACCAACUACCUAAUGGGACGCGAACCCCUCUAAAAGCGAUAAAUCUUUGACCUCUUCCCGAUGCCGGGUUGUGGUCUUAUGCGGUAUUAGCAGUUGUUUCCACCUGUUAUCCCCCACUGAUAGGCAGGUUGCUCACGCAUUACUCACCCGUCCGCCACUAGGUUAAGAAGCAAGCUCCUUAACCCCGUUCGACUUGCAUGUGUUAGGCACGCCGCCAGCGUUCGUCCUGAGCCAGAAUCGAACCCUGA
rnacentral:rRNA from 1 species